rnacentral:rRNA from 1 species
GAGUUUGAUCGUGGCUCAGAUUGAACGCUGGCGGAAUGCUUUACACAUGCAAGUCGAGCGGCAGCGCGGGGCAACCUGGCGGCGAGCGGCGAACGGGUGAGUAAUGCAUCGGAACAUGUCCAUGUCGUGGGGGAUAGCCCGGCGAAAGCCGGAUUAAUACCGCAUAAGCCCGAGAGGGGAAAGUGGGGGCCGCAAGGCCUCACGCGAUUGGGUUGGCCGAUGUCCGAUUAGCUAGUUGGCGGGGUAAAGGCCCACCAAGGCGAUGAUCGGUAGCUGGUCUGAGAGGAUGAUCAGCCACACUGGGACUGAGACACGGCCCAGACUCCUACGGGAGGCAGCAGUGGGGAAUUUUGGACAAUGGGGCAACCCUGAUCCAGCCAUUCCGCGUGAGUGAA